rnacentral:SRP_RNA from 1 species
AAGUGCUAGACGGGGAGUUAGCGGUGCCCUGUAACCCGGAACCCGCUCUACCGGGGUUGAAUUCCCACUCGAGGGCUUAACGGUUGUCGGGAACCGACGGUAUGUCGAUGUUGAGGGUCGGGUCCUGUACAGCAGCGGCCUUCAAACCCCGCCAGGACCGGAAGGUAGCAACGGUACGAAGAUCCUUCUGUGUGUUGCAGGUUCUCCCGGUCUGAGUCGGUCAGCCAUACGCCCCGCUGAUUGUGGUUCGAAGGUGGGUGCACAU